GGCAGUUUUGAUGAUGUCACUUCUUUUAUUUUAAGAAGACAUCAGAUAAAUCUGUGCU
rfam:Tetraodon nigroviridis, WGS project CAAE01000000 data, contig: CNS0BTBK, chromosome: undetermined